AUUGAACGCUGGCGGCAUGCCUUACACAUGCAAGUCGAGCGCGAAAGGGGGCAACCCCGAGUAGAGCGGCGGACGGGUGAGUAAUACAUCGGAACGUACCCAGUAGUGGGGGACAACCUCGAGAAAUCGAGGCUAAUACCGCAUACGACCCACGGGUGAAAGCGGGGGACCGCAAGGCCUCGCGCUCUUGGAGCGGCCGAUGUCCGAUUAGCUAGUUGGCGGAGUAAGAGCCCACCAAGGCGACGAUCGGUAGCUGGUCUGAGAGGACGACCAGCCACACUGGGACUGAGACACGGCCCAGACUCCUACGGGAGGCAGCAGUGGGGAAUUUUGGACAAUGGGGGCAACCCUGAUCCAGCCAUGCCGCGUGCGGGAAGAAGGCCUUCGGGUUGUAAACCGCUUUCGGCCGGAACGAAAUCGCCCGGGUGAACAUCCCGGGUGGAUGACGGUACCGGAAGAAGAAGCACCGGCUAACUACGUGCCAGCCGCCGCCGUAACAC
rnacentral:rRNA from 1 species